GUCGGUGUGGCUCAGUUGGUUAGAGCGUUGGUCUCAUAGUACGAUAAAUUCGUUGAGCAUGACUUGGUUAGACACCAGGGUAAUCCAAAGGUCGAGAGUUCGAGCCUCUCCACCGACA
rfam:Fusarium langsethiae strain Fl201059 Fl201059_contig560, whole genome shotgun sequence.